ensembl:lncRNA
AUUCAAUUAGCGCUCGGGCUCGAAGGUCGAGGGUUCGAGACCUGCUCCCUGCUGUUUCAUUACAUUACUUUGAAAUGCCAUGUAUCAUUUAAGAGCUACUGCAAGCUCUUUAGUUUAUAUGCUGGAAUAAUUUUCACGGACCAAGCUCCUGUAACGACACAGUUAAAUGUAACUUUGUAACGAGUGCACUGUGUGUUUUGGGAAACUGGUGUGACAUCUUCGGACAUUAUUUUUACGAUGCAUUGUUGAAACACUCGUAAACCUAAAGUACUGACGGAUUUUGUCCAACAAGGCGCCACACCAGGGGUGCGUUUCCCCAAAACAUUAUUGUACGUUCUUGAACAUACUUUGAGCUACGCUUGCUCGGUUCGGUGGGUGUACCGGAGUGUGUCUUGAAGCAAUGAGUGACGUAUUUAAAAGGGCAGCGGUGCAUUUUGAACCCCCUACCCUCCCCGUUUUUAAACUGGUUGAAUAGUACAACAGUUUCCGUUCAAUUGAAUGUUCUAUUACGUUUUUAUGUACUGAACCCCUGACAAACAGCUGAUUCAUCGGUUCAGUGAUUGCCCCUCUUUCACACCAGCUGCCAAACUAACCCUGAUUCAGAUGACCAUCCUACCCAUGCUUGAUUGCGGAGACGUAAUUUAUGGAUCGGCAGGCCACUGCAUGCUGUGACAUGGGCCUGGAUGGUCACACAUCUUCUUCAAGCUGCCUGACUGAAUACUGUAGCCUUCAGUGGUACCGGAAGCCAGGGCCGUAUCUGGGAGUACAGCAAAAGUCUCAAAUUCAUACAAAUGGCUACAGUCACUGACUUGUAUUCACUUGUCCCAUUCUAAAGUCUUGUCUGGGAUAUACAGUUGAAGUCGGAAGUUUACAUACACCUUACCCAAAUACAUUUAAACUCAGUUUUUCACAAUUCCUGACAUUUUAAUCUGAGUAAAAAUUCCCAGUUUUAGGUCAGUUUGGAUCACAACUUUUAUUUUAAGAAUGUGAAAUGUCAGAAUAAUAGUAGAUAAUGAUUUAUUGCUUGUGCCUCUAGUUCUGACAAUGCAGUAAUAACCAACGAGUAACCUAACAGUCCCACAACAACUACCUUAUACACACAAGUGUAAAGGGAUAAAGAAUAUGUACAUAUAAAUAUAUGAAUGAGGGAUGGUACAGAACGGCAUAGGCAAGAUGCAGUAGAUGGUAUCGAGUACAGUAUAUACAUAUGAGAUGAGUAAUGUAGGGUAUGUAGACAUAAAAGUGGCAUUGUUUAAAGUGGCUAGUGAUACAUUUUUACAUAAAUUUUCCAUUAUUAAAGUGGCUGGAGUUUAGUCGGUAUUUUGGCAGCAGCCAAUCAAUGUUAGUGGCC